rnacentral:rRNA from 1 species
GACGAACGCUGGCGGCGUGCCUAAUACAUGCAAGUUGAGCGCUGAAGGUUGGUACUUGUACCGACUGGAUGAGCAGCGAACGGGUGAGUAACGCGUGGGGAAUCUGCCUUUGAGCGGGGGACAACAUUUGGAAACGAAUGCUAAUACCGCAUAAAAACUUUAAACACAAGUUUUAAGUUUGAAAGAUGCAAUUGCAUCACUCAAAGAUGAUCCCGCGUUGUAUUAGCUAGUUGGUGAGGUAAAGGCUCACCAAGGCGAGGAUACAUAGCCGACCUGAGAGGCGGAGCGGCCACGUUGGGACUGGGACACGGCCCAACCUACUGCGGGAGGCAGCAGGAGGGAAUCUUCGGCAAUGGACGAAAGUCUGAACGAGCAACGCCGCGUGAGUGAAGAAGGUUGUCGGGUCGUAAAACUCUGUUGGUAGGGAAGAACGUUGGUGAGAGUGGAAAGCUCAUCAAGUGACGGUAACUACCCAGAAAGGGACGGCUAACUACGUG